AGUACUUUGCCCUUCCUCACUGUAGGAUGAAACGCUGGAGUCAAUUGCUCUAUUACACACAGCAGAGCCUAAGUCAGAAUGUGUAACUUUUGCCCUGUAACUUUUUUGGCACUACUCAUGUUGGUAGCAUUGAUCGAGCUUGCUCCCGUUUUGCACUUUCCCUCUAAAUGGCCUUAACAUGAGCAGAGCAUCUUGGCACGGGCUGAAAACUUGUCCUAUCCAAUGAGGCAGUAAAAAAGAAUAGUCGGGAGUGGGAGACAGUCUGAUAUUCUUUUGCUUCUGCUUGAGUAGUCCUUUAGUAAGAUCUUUUAGAUCCUGCUGAUACUUCCAAGCUGACCGUGAGUACAUAGAGCUGAGGUCCAGCUGCUUAUCUCUUGACCAGUUCCACCAGAGUAACGAUGAGGAAGAUUGUUUGGUGACGGUUCUAAAGGACCUCAUUGAGUGGAAGGGACUAACCUUCCCAGUGGCACGUUCGUGUUUUAAAGACAAGUUGCUUCAUGAAAGCAGGCUGGGUUUCACAGGAGCCGUGUCACGUUGGCACAAGCUUUGUGUUCUCAGUCUCUGCCAAACACAGUGGUAUAUCACGAGUGCUGCACCUGGUCUGUGUCCUUGAAGUGCGUCUCCAACUGCUGUUGGUUUUUGUAGAAGUUUAGGCCGAUACACGCUCUGCAGAAUGAGGUUCUUUAAACCUAAAUUAACAUUCUGUUGAAGACUAAACAUAUGUUGUUUUUCUUCACUGUCAACAAUUUGGUUUCCAGGUUUGGAAAAGAAACAUUGCUGGGGAGGAAUCCAAUGAAUUUAUUAAUGAGCUUGGGUGAUCUCAGCUCCUGCUUGGGCAAGAACAACAAGUCACUGGCCAAGGGGAGCCCAUUGAGGAGUACAAGAUGUGGGCUUUCCUCCCACAGAGUGCACUCUUGCCUUUCUUUCCUUGCCAGCUGCUGGUGGUCACACAACCUUGAAGGAAUUUAAUAUUUGCAAGACUGCUGCCACGCACUGAAUUUGAUACUUGCCAGUGGGUUCAAACGUUCAUGAGGAGGGAAAAAGCCACUUUGUUCUCCAUCGUGACUUCACUUCUGCCCAGAUUACCUGGGAAUGCCCACAAACUGUGUGUAAUGAAAAGC